rnacentral:lncRNA from 1 species
UGAUGCAGACCAAGCUCUCAUCUCCCAUGGGUUUGAAUUAAUUCGACCCAUGGACCAAGCCCAAUAAAAUGGGCUUGAACUCUCAUGGUGGAAUUUUCACUCUCACACCAUGAGAGUAUAAAUAAGAGUGGACAACAAAGAGGCAGUAGUUUUUGAGAGUUAAUUUCCUUAUUCCAGGUAACUCCCAUUUGCUCUUUGGUAUUCCAUCUUUUCUUGCCUUUU